UACGGGGGGAGCAAGCGUUGUUCGGAUUUACUGGGCGUAAAGGGCGCGUAGGCGGCCACCGCAAGUCGACUGUGAAAUCUCUGGGCUUAACCCAGAACGGUCAGCCGAUACUGCGGGGCUAGAGUGCAGAAGGGGCAACUGGAAUUCUCGGUGUAGCGGUGAAAUGCGUAGAUAUCGAGAGGAACACCUGCGGCGAAGGCGGGUUGCUGGGCUGACACUGACGCUGAUGCGCGAAAGCUAGGGGAGCGAACGGG
rnacentral:rRNA from 1 species